GUGAGGUGGAGGCAAAACUCAAAAACUUAGUCUCAGUUCGGAUUGUAGGCUGAAACUCGCCUACAUGAAGCUGGAGUUGCUAGUAAUCGCGAAUCAGCAUGUCGCGGUGAAUACGUUCCCGGGCCUUGUACACACCGCCCGUCACACCAUGAGAGUUGGCAAUACCCAACGUACGUGAUCUAACCCGCAAGGGAGGAAGCGUCCUAAGGUAGGGUCAGCGAUUGGGGUGAAGUCGUAACAAGGUAGC
rnacentral:rRNA from 1 species